UACGUAGGGUGCGAGCGUUAAUCGGAAUUACUGGGCGUAAAGCGUGCGUAGGCGGUCCGCGGAGUCUGAUGUGAAAGCCCCGGGCUCAACCUGGGAACUGCAUUGGAAACUAACGGGCUCGAGUGUGGCAGAGGGGGGUGGAAUUCCACGUGUAGCAGUGAAAUGCGUAGAGAUGUGGAGGAACACCGAUGGCGAAGGCAGCCCCCUGGGUCAAGAUUGACGCUCAUGCACGAAAGCGUGGGGAGCAAACAGG
rnacentral:rRNA from 1 species